UACGUAGGGGGCUAGCGUUGUCCGGAUUUACUGGGCGUACAGGGAGCGUAGGCGGUUGGAUAAGCCCUCCGUGAAAUCUCCAGGCUUAACCUGGAAAGUGCAGAGGGGACUGUUCAGCUAGAGGAUGGGAGAGGAGCGCGGAAUUCCUGGUGUAGCGGUGAAAUGCGCAGAUAUCAGGAGGAACACCGGUGGCGAAGGCGGGUCUCUGGGCCGAUACUGACGCUGAGGAGCGAAAGCGUGGGGAGCAAACAGG
rnacentral:rRNA from 1 species